rnacentral:rRNA from 1 species
UAUUAUUUUGGACUUAAAAUUUAUUUAUAACUUGAGUAGUAUUAGUUAUAGACUUGAAACUUAAAGAAUUUGGCGGUAUCUUAGUCUAUUUAGAGGAAUCUGUUCCAUUAUCGAUAGUCCACGUUGAACCUUACCUAAUUUUGCUAAAUUUGUAUACCGCCGUUUAUUUGAAGAUCUUACUAGGGUAAUUUUCUUAAUAUUUUAUUAAAUAAAAUUUCAGGUCAAGGUGCAGUUUAUAAUUAGGUGGAGAUGGAUUACAAUAUAUUUAUAGACGGAAUUUAAGCUGUAACGUUUAUAUGAAGGUGGAUUUAAUAGUAAUUUUAAUAAGAUUAUUAAAGUGAUUUUAGCUCUAGGAUGUGUACAUAUCGCCCGUCACUCUCACUAUUAAGGUGAG